rnacentral:lncRNA from 1 species
GGAACCGGGCUCCGUUGCCAACUCCGACCGCUGCCGAACUUCAGCCGACAGAUCUGCACUCCCCGAUGCGACAAAGCAACCACCACGAUCUUGCUCCACUUCCUGCGAUAGAGUCCGCGCAGCUCCGUCAUUCCCUGACAGAUCGCUAUGACGGCCACGACUCUGCUCCACCUCCUACGAUGGAUCCCGUGCGGCUCCAUUAUUCCCUGGCAGACCGCUAUGAUGCCCACGAUCUUGCUCCACCUUCUGUAAUGGAUAUUGCGUGAUUCUUCCACCCUCUGACGAGUCGCGACAACGGACGCCGCUCCACUCCCUGUGGCAGACUCCACGUGAUGCGCUGCAGUAGGGGCCACGGGUCCACUCCACUACUCCUCGCAACAAAUUCCUCCUGACUCUGAGCGACCCACUACCUGACGGUUACAGGCGUCGCUAUCAAUUUCUUGCCCCCUCCGCCUAUAAAAGGAGAACCCCAGAUACGUUAUUCGAUAAGCUCUCAUUUUUACCUAAAAACUCUGCUAAAAUUUUUGUUCGAGCACUCCAUUUUUGUUGAGGCAGAGAACUAACUUGAGCAUCGGAGGGUCUUGUCGGAG